rnacentral:rRNA from 1 species
UACAGAGGUCUCAAGCGUUGUUCGGAUUCAUUGGGCGUAAAGGGCGCGUAGGCGGCUCCUCAAGUCCGGGGUGAAAUCCUCCCGCCCAACGGGAGAAGUGCCUUGGAUACUGGGGGGCUCGAGGCGGGGUAGGGGCAUGGUGGAACUUCCGGUGGGAGCGGUGAAAUGCGUAGAUAUCGGAAGGAACGCCGGUGGCGAAAGCGACGUGCUGGACCCCCC